CAGUCGCCGCGGUAAUACGAAGGGGGCUAGCGUUGUUCGGAUUUACUGGGCGUAAAGGGCGCGUAGGCGGACUGAUAAGUCAGGGGUGAAAUCCCAAGGCUCAACCUUGGAACUGCCUUUGAUACUGUUUGUCUUGAGUUCGAGAGAGGUAAGUGGAACUGCGAGUGUAGAGGUGAAAUUCGUAGAUAUUCGCAAGAACACCAGUGGCGAAGGCGGCUUACUGGCUCGAAACUGACGCUGAGGCGCGAAAGCGUGGGGAGCAAACAGGAUUAGAUACCCCGGUAGUCCCUGUCUCUUAUAA
rnacentral:rRNA from 1 species